GGCUCAAUGGUCUAGUGGUAUGAUUCUCGCUUUGGGUGGCGAGAGGUCCUGAGUUCAAUUCUCAGUUGGAGCCC
rnacentral:tRNA from 1 species